rnacentral:rRNA from 1 species
CAUGUCUUUUUGAUAAUAAUUUAAAGUCUGACCUGCCCUAUGAUAGUUUUAAAUGGCCGCGAUAAUUUGAUCGUGCAAAGGUAGCAUAAUCAUUAGUUUUUUAAUUGAGAACUGGAAUGAAAGGUCGAACGAAAAAAAAACUGUCUCAAUUUAAAUUUUAUUAGAAUUUAAUAUUUAAGUAAAAAAGCUUAAAUAAAUUUAAAAGACGAGAAGACCCUAUAGAGUUUUAUAUUUAUUAUAUAAUUUUUUAGUUUUAGUAUUUAAGUUUAAAUUUAUAAUUUAAAUAUUUAGUUGGGGUGAUUGAAAAAUUUAAAAAACUUUUUUUAUUUAUUGUACAUUGAUAAAUGAAUUUAUGAUCCAUUAUUAAUGAUUAAAAGAUUAAAUUACCUUAGGGAUAACAGCGUAAUUUUUUUUGAGAGUUCUUAUCGAAAAAAAAGUUUGCGACC